rnacentral:sRNA from 1 species
CGCCCGUCAAACCAUGAGAGUUGAUAAUGCCAGAAGUACGUAUCUUAACCGUAAGGAGGGAGCGUACCAAGGUAGGAUUAGCGAUUAGGGUUAAGUCGUAACAAGGUAUCCGUACGGGAACGUGCGGAUGGAUCACCUCCUUUCUAUGGAGUUUAAUCAUAGACAAAAAAAGCUGAAGUGAUAAUUAACAGCUUUCAAUUCUACUUGAGUUCUAUCUAGUUUUCAGGGAUUGUUUGUGCGAAAGCACAGAUCUCUGAAAAGAAUCGUUCUUUGAAAACUGAAUAUUAGAUGAAAAAGACAUUUUAAUUUUCUUUAAAAUAAAAUAGUAUGUUAUUAACAAAGUAACUAGUAAAAAGAAAACUAAAAUUUCAAAACAAACAAUUAUUGUUAUUUAUUGCAAUAGGUUUUUCUUCAAUAAAGUAUAGUAAGGGCAAAUAGUGAAUGCCUUGGAAAAUGGAGCCGAUGAAGGACGCGACUACCUGCGAAAAGUCACGUGGAGCUGGAAGUAAGCUUUGAAGCGUGAAUGUCCGAAUGGGGAAACCCAAUACGAUUAAUCUCGUAUUACCCAUAACUGAAUACAUAGGUUAUGAGGAGGGAACCUUGGGAACUGAAACAUCUUAGUACCAAGAGGAAAAGAAAACGAAUGUGAUUCCGUAAGUAGCGGCGAGCGAAAGCGGAACAGGCCAAACCGUUCUACGGGACGGGGUUGUAGGACUUCUGUUAGAGUUACAAAAUUAUAGUAUAGUAGAAACUGUUGGGAAGCAGUGGCGUAGAGGGUGAUACCCCCGUAUACGAAAUGCUAUGAUCUCGAGGAAGUAUCCUGAGUACGGCGAGACACGAGGAAUCUUGUCGGAAUCCACCCAGACCACUGGGUAAGCCUAAAUACUCCCAUUUUACCGAUAGUGAACCA